rnacentral:rRNA from 1 species
CGGCAUGCUUUACACAUGCAAGUCGAACGGCAGCGGGGGGCUUCGGCCUGCCGGCGAGUGGCGAACGGGUGAGUAAUGCAUCGGAACGUGCCCAUGUCGUGGGGGAUAACGUAUCGAAAGGUACGCUAAUACCGCAUACGUCCUGAGGGAGAAAGCGGGGGAUCGCAAGACCUCGCGCGAUUGGAGCGGCCGAUGUCGGAUUAGCUAGUAGGUGAGGUAAAGGCUCACCUAGGCGACGAUCCGUAGCGGGUCUGAGAGGAUGAUCCGCCACACUGGGACUGAGACACGGCCCAGACUCCUACGGGAGGCAGCAGUGGGGAAUUUUGGACAAUGGGGGCAACCCUGAUCCAGCCAUGCCGCGUGAGUGAAGAAGGCCUUCGGGUUGUAAAGCUCUUUCGGCCGGGAAGAAAUCGUGUUCUCUAACAUAGGACAUGGAUGACGGUACCGGACUAAGAAGCACCGGCUAACUACGUGCCAGCAGCCGCGGUAAUACGUAGGGUGCGAGCGUUAAUCGGAAUUACUGGGCGUAAAGCGUGCGCAGGCGGUUUUGUAAGACAGAUGUGAAAUCCCCGGGCUUAACCUGGGAACUGCGUUUGUGACUGCAAGGCUAGAGUACGGCAGAGGGGGGUGGAAUUCCUGGUGUAGCAGUGAAAUGCGUAGAUAUCAGGAGGAACACCGAUGGCGAAAGCAGCCCCCUGGGCCUGUACUGACGCUC